UCCCUGGUGGUUCAGUGGCUAAGACUCUGCACUCCCAAUGCAGGGGGCCUGGGUUCAAUCCCUGGUUGGGGAA
rnacentral:tRNA from 1 species